ensembl:lncRNA
CUGGUAGGCUAGUUCAUUUCAGUUGUCUGAUAUGUCGAUGCAUGUAGGUUUGAAGUGAUAGCUUUCAACUUUUUCAAAAGUUUGAAUAGCAACUAUUGUUACUAUGUAGUAACGUAUAACAUAGAAAUUAGCAUCUGUCAAACAUGUUGAUGCCAAUUAGAAUUAGAAUCUGUCAAACAUGGUGAUGCCAAGUCUGUACCAGUGUCCCCAUUCCAUGGUAUUCUUCUGGUAGGCCUGUAAGUAUAGGCAUAAUAGUAUGGUAUUCUUCUGGUAGGCCUGUAAGUAUAGGCAUAAUAGUAUGGUAUUCUUCUGGUAGGCCUGUAACCAUAGGCAUAAUAGUAUGGUAUUUUUCUGGUAGGCCUGUAACCAUAGGCAUAGUAUGCUGAGCAUCUGCAUAUUUUAUUAAAAACAGAAAAUCGAUGUAUGACCUCACCCUUGUCAACAUCCGUCAAUAUAGAGCCAAAAGCAGAGAAGAAUGUCAGAGGUCAAUGUGUAAACAACAGCACAGCUGUCAUUCAGCACACCACAUGUUACCAAAUGCACAACCAAGAUAUCAGUCCUUUCUAAAUCUAUGAAAUCUAUGUGGACAACAAUGUUUAGCCCCAUUACACUCUACUCCAGCCACUGCUUGCAGGCGGCCGCUCCAAAGACCACCUACUUGGGGGGAGAAACUCUUGCCACAAUGGAAAGUUGGUCUUAACUGGCUUCUUUCAGUUGGGGUAGUGAUCAGCAUGCCAAUUAAACUGGCCUUCAUUUAGGUUAAACCAAGCAUGUGCUGAGUGUCAUUCUAAUUCAUGCAUUUGUCCCCUUUGUUAACAGUUUUCUUAAUUUUUUUUAAACAUGUGAUGUUCACGAGAUUACUUUUAAAAAGUGUUCAGUAAUCUGUUUGUUGCAGUCAUUACUACUCAUGGUUAUGUGGCCCUGACUAACAACAACAACAACAACAACAGGACAAAUGUAUUUAGCAGUAAGAUUGAUCUUACAACACGGUUAAUUGUUGACACAUCCUACUUUGUGUGUUAAUACAAAUUCGUAUUUGUUACGUUAAAUGUCUUUUUACUUAAUGUGACUCAAAAUGUCUUCAAUAUAGAUUCCAGUAGUAUUAUUCAUUCAGAAGUCCAUAAAAGUAACAUAUGUUUGAUUUUUUUCUAGGACUUUAGGAAUUGGCAACUUGUUCAAGUCUCUGAGUGGCUCUAAUUAAAAGGAGCUGUCCACAUCUCCAUGGAUACGCCUUGGACCUGCUCGAGCAUUCCCCUCACAUAAAGCAGGCUUCUCAGCACCUCACUCCAAACAGCCUCUCUGGUUAUAGCCUCUCCACUCUUCUCUGGGAUUCCCUGAGAAAGACCACAGCCUACAGUGCAUUUCUUACACACUUCUGGAGGAAGUGAAAGUUGUUCCAUAGAAGCAGCUGUUAAAUUUCACUGCCCGAGUGACAAAAGUCAAUCUAAGUCUGUAAACCAGAUGUGGUAUCAUUUUUUUGUUCUAUUGCCCAAUUAAACAAUUAUGAAUGGUGAGAUUAUGAAAGCAUGACAGCAGUUUCUGCUCCAGUUUCUGUUUCUGAAUAUGAUUCAGAAACAUAACAUUACGUCAUAUAUGCAGAUAAAUUCGUUCAAUCAUAAAGGCAGAUACAUCCAUUUAAACAUAUGCAUAAC